GACGAACCGUGCGAACGUUGUUCGGAAUCACUGGGCUUAAAGGGCGCGUAGGCGGGCCGGCAAGUCAGGGGUGAAAUCCCACGGCUCAACCGUGGAAGUGCCUUUGAUACUGCCGAUCUGGAGGGAGGUAGGGGCGUGCGGAACUUCCGGUGGAGCGGUGAAAUGCGUAGAUAUCGGAAGGAACACCGGUGGCGAAAGCGGCGCGCUGGACCUCUACUGACGCUGAGGCGCGAAAGCGUGGGGAGCAAACAGG
rnacentral:rRNA from 1 species